GCUGGCGGCAGGCCUAACACAUGCAAGUCGAGCGGAUGACGGGAGCUUGCUCCUUGAUUCAGCGGCGGACGGGUGAGUAAUGCCUAGGAAUCUGCCUGGUAGUGGGGGACAACGUUUCGAAAGGAACGCUAAUACCGCAUACGUCCUACGGGAGAAAGCAGGGGACCUUCGGGCCUUGCGCUAUCAGAUGAGCCUAGGUCGGAUUAGCUAGUUGGUGGGGUAAUGGCUCACCAAGGCGACGAUCCGUAACUGGUCUGAGAGGAUGAUCAGUCACACUGGAACUGAGACACGGUCCAGACUCCUACGGGAGGCAGCAGUGGGGAAUAUUGGACAAUGGGCGAAAGCCUGAUCCAGCCAUGCCGCGUGUGUGAAGAAGGUCUUCGGAUUGUAAAGCACUUUAAGUUGGGAGGAAGGGCAUUAACCUAAUACGUUAGUGUUUUGACGUUACCGACAGAAUAAGCACCGGCUAACUCUGUGCC
rnacentral:rRNA from 1 species